rnacentral:rRNA from 1 species
CAGGCCUAACACAUGCAAGUCGAACGCGCCCUUCGGGGUGAGUGGCAGACGGGUGAGUAACGCGUGGGAACAUACCUUUCGGACUGGAAUAACUGGGGGAAACUUCAGCUAAGACCGGAUACGCCCUAUGGGGGAAUGAUUUAUCGCCGAAAGAUUGGCCCGCGUCCGAUUAGCUAGUUGGUGUUGGUAAUGGCUCACCAAGGCGACGAUCGGUAGCUGGUCUGAGAGGAUGGCCAGCCACAUUGGGACUGAGACACGGCCCAAACUCCUACGGGAGGCAGCAGUGGGGAAUAUUGGACAAUGGGCGCAAGCCUGAUCCAGCCAUGCCGCGUGAGUGAUGACGGCCUUAGGGUUGUAAAGCUCUUUCGCACGCGACGAUAAUGACGGUAGCGUGAGAAGAAGCCCCGGCUAACUUCGUGCCAGCAGCCGCGGUAAU